CCGGCUCCUGAUGAGCCAAAGAACCGCUGAGCUCAGCUCUUCCCGUGGCCCUAGGCUCCGGCUGGCUGCCUUUGUGCCCGCCUCGCCCGCCUUUAAGUCUCUCGGCUGUGGCUCAUCGCUGCGGGGGUGGAGGCGGCCGCCCACAUCACGCCAGCCACUGUUCGCUUGUGAGCGGAGGAAGCGUGGUGACCUCAGCCACGGUGCCAGAUCCUGCCUCUGAAAAGCCUUGGCUGCGCCACCCUGCCUGCCGUUUGCCAAAUGGCGAAUAGUCCGGCUCUGUUCAGCGAGAUUCCGGGGGUGGGGGGUAGGGGCUUUCGGAGAGAGGCCCUAGGUCCUCCCAACAGGGUGGAGAGAAAGGAUAGAGGGUCUUCAGUGAGAGUCACAGUUAGGCUACCAGCCUUCAUUGAUAAUAGGCAACAGGCUUGCCGGCCAUAGUGUGCCAAUUCCAUUGUUUUAAAUGUUGCAUCUUUCCGCUUGCAGAUUUUCUAUUUUAGGGUAUAUUCUAAUCAUUCAGUGAUGGGUUUCAAUAUGCCUGUCUCAUGUACUUUGAUCUUACACCCACCACCCUUUUAUGUUCCUGUUUCCUCCUGACUUCUGGUCUCCCCUUCCCUCAAGUCUUAUUUUUAAGUUUAAAUUCUACAUAUGAGAGAAAACGUGAUUAGGGUUUCCUGGGUCCAACUUAGCAACCUCUUGGAUCAUUAGUCCAUUUCCUGCAAAUAACACAAUUCACUCUUGGCAAUGGCAAAAUAGUAUUCUAUUGUGUUAUACAUACUUUUUUUUAAGCUAUUGAUCUACUGAUGAUCACAUGGGCUAAUAUCCAUAACCUUGCUAAUUUGAAAAAAAAAAAUCUGUAGAGAACAUGGGUGUGCAGGUGUCUCCGUGGUCUGCUACAUUUGAUUCCCUCUGGGAUAUACCUAGGAGUGGCAUAUCCAGUUCCUGAGAUAGUCUUUCUUGCCUUCUCAGGUUCUGUGCUUAAGGUGCACGCCCCUACUUGCCUCUUCCUAGUCCUGGUAUAGUUGGUAGCUCUCAGGGGCCCAUGGUACAAAUGGAAGAACCUGGCAACUGACCCCUGACCCCUCCUUCCAUGCCAUUGGGAAGGACACUGCUUGAGUGGUUGCCAUCUGUGCCCGUCCCGCUAUAAAGAGAAACUUCUCCCUUCUGUAGGUCACUGCCAUUUUGAGGACAACCCACAGAAGUGACCUCAUCCAGAGUGGGACCAGUGGAAGAGGCUGCUGGAGGGGAGGGCGGUACAAUUCUUAAAAAGCUAAGACCACGUAGAUCUAUAUAACCCAAGUGCAGGCUGAGGCUUGGGCCGUGAGAGACAGGACAGAAUCUCCAAAUCUCCACCAGGCACCAGAGAUGAGCUCAGCUGUCACAUGACACUGUGUCCUCCAGGGCAGGGCAGCCCAGUUCCCUGCUUGGUGCUGCCUGAAUGGACAUGGGGCGUGCAAGCCCGCUCUGACAGGGGAGGAAGUCAGUAGCACUGUGGGCGUGGGGUCUUUAGAGGAAGCAUCGAGGGAGUUGGGAGAGAGCUUCUAGUCUCAGCCUGAGGAGAGAUUGGACCCCAGCCUUGUUUCUCACUACCUGAGUGACUUAGGCUUGGUUCCUGCUGGGAAGUGGGGAUUAACAUCCUAGCUCAUACACCACCAAGGCAAAGUGAUGGUGGAUGCUGGCUGGCCUACUACCCACACACAUGGGAAUGUCUGUGAGAUCUUCCUUCUUUGCUCGCUCCCGCAGCCCCUCAUCCACAAGGCUAACACACACUGUGCCUUGUCCAGAUCAGCUAUUCUGAGAAUUAGUCACAUACCCACUUCUCCUUACAAAUUGCAUCCCGCUGUUUUGAAUAGACUAGCAAGAAGCUAGAUGGCUCUCUGAUGUAUCAGGAUGUGUAGAACCGAAAAUAUAAUCCCAGGGAGACCCCACAGCCCUUGCUACCUAAAGCCCUGACUGACCCUAGGUGUACCCUUCCAGACUGCUCUCCCUGACUCUCUUCUUUGCUGCCCCCUUGGAAGCUCUGGCGACUGGCUACUGAAGACCUUGGGAGGGCUCUGAUAACAGGCCUGCUCUCUGGGCCUCUGGGGACAUUGAUUCAAUCUUCUCCAAUCGCCGGCAUUGCCAUCUGCCUGCAGUAAUUAAAUGGUAUUUGAACUGGAUCCAGAAAUCCCAUCACAGGCUGUCACGUGGUGGGGAGGGUGUCUUCAGAAGCUAUGCAGUCUACGUAGUUAAGAGAGGCCUCCCAGGCUGCUGCGAUGUCCCCUCAGUUCACCAGAGAGCACCCACGUGCUCUGGGAGGAAAUAUCCAGUCUUAGGCCCCUGCAGCCCCAGGGCAGAGCCAAAGCUCUCAUUUCUAUGCUAUGCCAUGCCUCACUCUCUGCAGCUGCCCAUGCUCUCCUGGUGUCUGAGGCUUCCCUCCACUCUCAAAUCCCUGGUCCUCAGUAGCAAUGUGUGUACUGCAGGGUUAAGGAAGGGCUAGUACGUUCAGCCUGCCUGGGCUUGAAAUGGCUCCUCACUGUCUUUGACUCUGAAUGACACCAUCCCAACUUCCUUAUCUGUUAACUGGACACUAGCAAAGACCUCCCAGGGGGUUGUUGUGAGGUCAAGCGUUAAGAAGCCUCAGUUCAUAGGCCUGGUCUGGCAUGCAGUGGUGAGCCCCGGGUGGGUCAGCAGCAGUGGUUAGGGCAGAAGUGGAAGCCAGCAUAGGAGCCUGGGAUGGGGGUUGGGGGUUGGGGAGAGAAAAGCUUCCGGCCUGAAGGUCCAGAGAGAAUGAAAAUGAAUCAGUGUUGCUCUUUCUGUCAGAAACCAGUUCAGGCGAACAGGUGAAAGGCUAGGACGCUAGGCUCCUGUCCCUGUACAGCUCUUAACAGUUAGGGACUCCUCCUCUGAACCAGUAUCUGGGAUGUAGAUCAACCCCGUGGCCCCAUUUGCUGCCUCGACGGGGUACUUUCCAUUGACCCAGGCUGCUUUAGUUGUGUUUGGGCUUCCGUUCCUGGAAAGAACCAGCACGUGUGUCUGAGAGCGUCACAAAGCCCUGGUUGCCGCAUUGAAGACCCUCAUAGCCUCUACAGGUCCCUGCCUCUGUUCUAACCUUCUCCUAGACUGGCUCAGAAGAAUGUGGUCAGGAGUUGUAGGGUGCUGCCUCUCCUGUCCUUCUCUCUCCAUCCUUGGCCCUAAGCUGUAUCUCUCUAGAAUGUGCUAGCUUUCACCUCCUUCCAGGCCUCUGGGGGUCAGGGGUUGUGGCGGUGGUGGUGAUAGUAUGCCUUUGCCCAGGUUUGGUCCCUUCACUCUCUGGUGUACAACCUUGGGGUACUCACUGGGACAUUCUCAUUGGACAAUCAUAGGAAUAGAUACCUCAUAGGUUUAGAGCGAAGAGCACAUGAAUUAGUUUAUAGAGAACAUACUUAACGUACACUAGGGGUACCAAGCGUUCAAUCAAUGUUAGCUACUACUGGUUUGGGCGAUAUGCAUAUGUGUUACUGAAACCAUUCCCUGGAGUUUCCUAUCCUCUUGCCUUUCCUGGCUUGUGGGGUAAACAAACCGAAUUAUGGCUGGUAACAUAAGAGGAUGGUCUGUCACUUCUACCCAGUUGGUGCUGAUCCAGGGCUCUUUCCAC
rnacentral:lncRNA from 1 species